GACGAACGCUGGCGGCGUGCUUAACACAUGCAAGUCGAACGGAAAGGCCCUGCUUUUGUGGGGUGCUCGAGUGGCGAACGGGUGAGUAACACGUGAGUAACCUGCCCUUGACUUUGGGAUAACUUCAGGAAACUGGGGCUAAUACCGGAUAGGAGCUCCUGCUGCAUGGUGGGGGUUGGAAAGUUUCGGCGGUUGGGGAUGGACUCGCGGCUUAUCAGCUUGUUGGUGGGGUAGUGGCUUACCAAGGCUUUGACGGGUAGCCGGCCUGAGAGGGUGGCCGGCCACAUUGGGACUGAGAUACGGCCCAGACUCCUACGGGAGGCAGCAGUGGGGAAUAUUGCACAAUGGGCGGAAGCCUGAUGCAGCAACGCCGUGUGCGGGAUGACGGCCUUCGGGUUGUAAACCGCUUUCGCUCAUGACGAAGCUUUGUGUGACGGUAGUGGGUAAAGAAGCACCGGCUAACUACGUG
rnacentral:rRNA from 1 species